UACAGAGGUCUCAAGCGUUGUUCGGAUUCAUUGGGCGUAAAGGGUGCGUAGGCGGCGCGGUAAGUCGGGUGUGAAAUCCCGGGGCUCAACCUCGGACGUGCACACGAUACUGCGAGACUUGAGUACUGGAGAGGAGAGCGGAAUUCCCGGUGUAGAGGUGAAAUUCGUAGAUAUCGGGAGGAACACCAGUGGCGAAGGCGGCUCUCUGGACAGCUACUGACACUGAGGCGCGAAAGCGUGGGAAGCAAACAGG
rnacentral:rRNA from 1 species